GGUAAAGGCUCACCUAGGCGACGAUCCCUAGCUGGUCUGAGAGGAUGACCAGCCACACUGGAACUGAGACACGGUCCAGACUCCUACGGGAGGCAGCAGUGGGGAAUAUUGCACAAUGGGCGCAAGCCUGAUGCAGCCAUGCCGCGUGUAUGAAGAAGGCCUUCGGGUUGUAAAGUACUUUCAGCGGGGAGGAAGGGAGUAAAGUUAAUACCUUUGCUCAUUGACGUUACCCGCAGAAGAAGCACCGGCUAACUCCGUGCCAGCAGCCGCGGUAAUACGGAGGGUGCAAGCGUUAAUCGGAAUUACUGGGCGUAAAGCGCACGCAGGCGGUUUGUUAAGUCAGAUGUGAAAUCCCCGGGCUCAACCUGGGAACUGCAUCUGAUACUGGCAAGCUUGAGUCUCGUAGAGGGGGGUAGAAUUCCAGGUGUAGCGGUGAAAUGCGUAGAGAUCUGGAGGAAUACCGGUG
rnacentral:rRNA from 1 species